GGUGAACCAGCGGAGGGAUCAUUACUGAGUUACCGCUCUACAACCCUUUGUGAACAUACCUAACCGUUGCUUCGGCGGGCAGGGGAAGCCUCUCGCGGGCCUCCCCUCCCGGCGCCGGCCCCACCACGGGGACGGGGCGCCCGCCGGAGGAAACCAAACUCUAUUUACACGACGUCUCUUCUGAGUGGCACAAGCAAAUAAUUAAAACUUUUAACAACGGAUCUCUUGGUUCUGGCAUCGAUGAAGAACGCAGCGAAAUGCGAUAAGUAAUGUGAAUUGCAGAAUUCAGUGAAUCAUCGAAUCUUUGAACGCACAUUGCGCUCGCCAGCAUUCUGGCGAGCAUGCCUGUUCGAGCGUCAUUUCAACCCUCAAGCACCGCUUGGUUUUGGGGCCCCACGGCAGACGUGGGCCCUUAAAGGUAGUGGCGGACCCUCCCGGAGCCUCCUUUGCGUAGUAACUAACGUCUCGCACUGGGAUCCGGAGGGACUCUUGCCGUAAAACCCCCAAAUUCUUACAGGUUGACCUCGGAUCAGGUAGGAAUACCCGCUGAACUUAAGCAUAUCAAUAAGCGGAGGA
rnacentral:rRNA from 1 species